rnacentral:rRNA from 1 species
GCUGGCGGGUGCUUACCAUGCAAGUCGAACGAUGAAGCCCAGCUUGCUGGGUGGAUUAGUGGCGAACGGGUGAGUAACACGUGAGCAACGUGCCCAUAACUCUGGGAUAACCUCCGGAAACGGUGGCUAAUACUGGAUAUCUAACACGAUCGCAUGGUCUGUGUUUGGAAAGAUUUUUUGGUUAUGGAUCGGCUCACGGCCUAUCAGCUUGUUGGUGAGGUAAUGGCUCACCAAGGCGACGACGGGUAGCCGGCCUGAGAGGGUGACCGGCCACACUGGGACUGAGACACGGCCCAGACUCCUACGGGAGGCAGCAGUGGGGAAUAUUGCACAAUGGGCGAAAGCCUGAUGCAGCAACGCCGCGUGAGGGAUGACGGCCUUCGGGUUGUAAACCUCUUUUAGUAGGGAAGAAGCGAAAGUGACGGUACCUGCAGAAAAAGCACCGGCUAACUACGUGCCAGCAGCCGCGGUAAU